rnacentral:rRNA from 1 species
CCUACGGGAGGCAGCAGUGGGGAAUAUUGGACAAUGGGGGGAACCCUGAUCCAGCCAUGCCGCGUGUGUGAAGAAGGCCCUCGGGUUGUAAAGCACUUUCAGUGAGGAAGAACGCCUGGUGGUUAAUACCCAUCAGGAAAGACAUUACUCACAGAAGAAGCACCGGCUAACUCCGUGCCAGCAGCCGCGGUAAUACGGAGGGUGCGAGCGUUAAUCGGAAUUACUGGGCGUAAAGCGCGCGUAGGUGGCUUGAUAAGCCGGUUGUGAAAGCCCCGGGCUCAACCUGGGAACGGCAUCCGGAACUGUCAAGCUAGAGUGCAGGAGAGGAAGGUAGAAUUCCCGGUGUAGCGGUGAAAUGCGUAGAGAUCGGGAGGAAUACCAGUGGCGAAGGCGGCCUUCUGGACUGACACUGACACUGAGGUGCGAAAGCGUGGGUAGCAAACAGGAUUAGAUACCCUGGUAGUC